rfam:Zhouia amylolytica AD3 51.P278.1_1, whole genome shotgun sequence.
ACCCCAUAUUCAAAACGAGAAUGAACAAUAUUUUAAACAAUACUUGGUGGUGGAUCAACUUACGUCAGACGUCGUGAGAGGCACCGCUAUAGUAUAAAUUAAAACUUAAUAUACAAAAAGGCUUGUC